GACGAACGCUGGCGGCGUGCCUAAUACAUGCAAGUAGGACGCAGUUGCGAAUGGGUGAGUAACGCGUAGGUAACUACCUAUUAGAGGGGGAGAACUAUUGGCAACGAUAGCUAAUACCGCAUACUAGUAGAUGGACCUGCGUUGUAUUAGGUAGUAGGUCGGGUAAAGGCCUACCUAGGCAAUGAUACAUAGCCGGCCUGGGAGGGUGAUCGGCCCCACUGGGACUUAGACACGGCCCAGACUCCUACGGGAGGCAGCAGUAGGGAAUCAUCGGCAAUGGGGGGAACCCUGACCGAGCAACGCCGCGUGGGUGAAGAAGGGUGUCGGAUCGUAAAGCUCUGUUGUUAAGGAAGCGGUACUUAACCAGAAAGGGACGGCUAACUACGUGCCAGCAGCCGCGGUAAUUC
rnacentral:rRNA from 1 species